GACGAACGCUGGCGGCGUGCUUAACACAUGCAAGUCGAACGAUGAAGCCGGAGCUUGCUCUGGUGAAUUAGUGGCGAACGGGUGAGUAACACGUGAGUAACCUGCCCUUGACUCUGGGAUAACUGCUAGAAAUGGUAGCUAAUACCGGAUACGACCCUCGGCGGCAUCGCCAGGGGGUGGAAAGAAUUUCGGUCAAGGAUGGACUCGCGGCCUAUCAGCCAGUUGGUGAGGUAACGGCUCACCAAGGCGACGACGGGUAGCCGGCCUGAGAGGGUGACCGGCCACACUGGGACUGAGACACGGCCCAGACUCCUACGGGAGGCAGCAGUGGGGAAUAUUGCACAAUGGGCGCAAGCCUGAUGCAGCAACGCCGCGUGAGGGAUGACGGCCUUCGGGUUGUAAACCUCUUUUAGUAGGGAAGAAGCGAAAGUGACGGUACCUGCAGAAAAAGCACCGGCUAACUACGUGCCAGCAGCCGCGGUAA
rnacentral:rRNA from 1 species